GAUGAAGAACGUAGUGAAAUGCGAUAAGUAAUGUGAAUUGCAGAAUUCAGUGAAUCAUCGAAUCUUUGAACGCACCUUGCACCCUUUGGCAUUCCGAAGGGUAUGCUCGUUUGAGUGUCAUUGUACUCUCACUCUCCCGAUACUUUUGGAUCGGGAGUGGUGGACUUGGGUGCUGCUGCUUAACUGUGGCUCGCCUUAAAUGAAGUAGUGCAACUCUCGGUUGGACAUAGUACGGCGUGAUAAGUGUCUUCGCCGGCGCCUCAUUCGAGGGUGGCCGAUCGGGAGCUCUGUGCUUCAAACUGUCUUCGGGCAACAUCUGACAACUUGACCUCAAAUCGAGUAGGACUACCCGCUGAACUUAAGCAUAUCAAUAAGCGGAGGA
rnacentral:misc_RNA from 1 species